UACGUAGGCAGCAAGCGUUGUUCGGAAUUACUGGGCGUAAAGCGUGUGUAGGCGGUUGGGUAAGUCUGGUGUGAAAUCUCCCGGCUCAACUGGGAGGGUGCGCCGGGAACUGCCUGGCUGGAGUGCGGAAGAGGAGAGUGGAAUUCCCGGUGUAGCGGUGAAAUGCGUAGAUAUCUGGAGGAACACCGGUGGCGAAGGCGGCAUUCUGGACCGAAACUGACGCUGAGGCGCGAAAGCCAGGGGAGCGAACGGG
rnacentral:rRNA from 1 species